rnacentral:rRNA from 1 species
GACGAACGCUGGCGGCGUGCUCAACACAUGCAAGUCGAACGGUAAGGCCCUUCGGGGUACACGAGUGGCGAACGGGUGAGUAACACGUGGGUGAUCUGCCCUGCACUUCGGGAUAAGCCUAGGAAACUGGGUCUAAUACCGGAUAGGACCACUGCCUGCAUGGGUGGUGGUGGAAAGCUUUUGCGGUGUGGGAUGGGCCCGCGGCCUAUCAGCUUGUUGGUGGGGUGAUGGCCUACCAAGGCGACGACGGGUAGCCGGCCUGAGAGGGUGACCGGCCACACUGGGACUGAGAUACGGCCCAGACUCCUACGGGAGGCAGCAGUGGGGAAUAUUGCAUAAUGGGCGCAAGCCUGAUGCAGCGACGCCGCGUGAGGGAUGACGGCCUUCGGGUUGUAAACCUCUUUCAGCACCGACGAAGCGCAAGUGACGGUAGGUGCAGAAGAAGGACCGGCCAACUACGUGCCAGCCGCCGCGGUAAGAC